rnacentral:tRNA from 1 species
UGGGAUGUGGCCAAGCGGUUAAGGCACGGGACUUUGACUCCCGCAUCGUAGGUUCGAUCCCUACCAUCCCAGCCA